CUGCAGGCGGUCAAAGCGGCGACGAUAACCAUGUUCUCCGGCCCGACGCGUGCCUUCUCUAUCUCCUCUCUCUUUAUUUAUUUUUUCCACUGAUUCUCGCCAUACUCUCCACCAAUCUCCACCGGAAUCUCGCUGGUUAAUCUCAUCCCUACCCGAUAUCUUCGUUUGCUUGGCCGGCUCUCCCCGCUCGCAUCUCCGGCAGACGGCAGCGAGCUAUAGGAGCAAGUGGAGAGGCUGUGCUCGGAGGGGAGGUGGCGGAUUCAAGUGGAGCAUGCUCAAGAACGAUGACUGAUGAAGAUGCUAUGAUGCGUGGAUCGACGAGAGCGACAUGGAGGGCCGGUUGCCGCCACGAAUUUCCCCCGAUCCUUGGCAGCUUGGGGAAGUCGUAGAGCGACAUGGAGCGGUGGUGACCAUUCUUCUUUUUUUUCUCUUCGUCGCCUAAGGAUGGACGACGAUGCCGAUUUCCCCCGCGGCCGCCGCGACUGGAUGCUGCCUAGCGGACGAUUAAUUCGCUGCAGAGAAGGCGGUUCGGCCCCCGGCGACAUGCGUCGAACCUCUCUAUUUGCACCCUCUUAGACCAGAAGAUCGAGAGAACCAAGAAGCUCUAGAUUUGUUCAGGUCUGCUCCACGGUUCUCCCUGCCUCAGCUCUUCUCUAGCCGAUUCCCUCCUUCCAUGGUGUAUUCUCUUUGUUUCUGUGGCUUCCUCUUUGUUGAUUUGAUUUCCAUGGCUUCUUUUGUGAUUUUGAUUUCUAUUGCUUCUUCUCUCUCAGGAUUUUUUUGUGUCUGUUUCCAUAUUUUGAUCUUGUGGCGUGGCUAUGGUGGUUGUGUCCGGCCGUGUCCGUGCUUGCGGUGGCGUAUGCAUCUGACUCUUCUGAUUUAUUUCAUAGCUCUAUGACCUUGGGCGAUAGCAACCGAUCAAAGGAUUAGCGACGCUCCGUUUCUUCCGAGCUGAGCUUCAGCGCUGUCUGGCUUCUCCGCGGCCGCCGCGCCGGCUGGACCUCCUAGCGCUGCCCGAUCCUCGUGGAGGAUAAAUUCGCGGUGAUGGGUGGCCGGAGCUCCCAUAGCUGCCCCGACACCUGCUGGAAGGCAGAACCGUUUGCCAUGAUGGGCGUCAGGCCGGGGCUCCAUGGUUUAGCGCAGGUGGAGCACAAGCCAUGGACACCGGGGCUGCUCACCAUUAGGUGCCUCACAAUCGCUGCUAAUAUACAGAGCGUCGUCGCAAUAAUCCCAACAGGUUUUGAGUAGCGGAAAGGACAAGGAUGACUGUUGUUGUGUUGGACUCAAGAGCAUCACGGGUGAAAAAUUAAAGUCACGCGAGGUGGCAGAUCUCUAAUGACAUCAGAGAGUAAAUUGAGGUUAGUUAGCCUUUCAGAUUGCAUAGGUUAUGUCAGUCUAGGGCCACUUCUGAAAAUUGUAUAUAUCAUGGUAUCUAUUAUUAGAACAAUUAAUUUAUACACUACUGAAUAAUGUAUAUGACAUUUUUGAUGGAGCAUACGAGCUAUGAAGUUACAUUUCUAAACAUGGUGACAAUUUAUACACUUAAUGGAUACUGCAUUCUCCUUUACGAUUCUUUGUCAUGCUCCCAUUUUUUUUUUUUUGAGAUGUUGGAUAAUACUGCAUUAUCUGUAUUUUUGACGUAGAUCUUUUGCAGUUCAGCAUCAAACAUCUACAUGUGGUUUAAUUGUAGUUUCACCUACUAUUUUGGUGGAAACAAAGAAGAUCAGUUUGUCAUUCGCAGUUUUCUUUAUGUUUUCCUGAUAGAUUUCACGAAGUACUGUCACAGUUUCCUUUAUGUUUGCGCAUAGUAUUAAUAAAUUUGCUCAUAGUAUAAGCUUUUAGAUGGGUGCAGCAAACUAUUAUUUAUUUUCUGUACAUUUUACAUAAUUUAAUUAUACUAUUAAAGGGAUGGGAAUGUAUGUCAAGCAAGCUUAUAAUGUAUUGAUUUAUAUUUAUUUGUCAUCUUUGAUUUAUCAUGUACCAGUAAAUUUGUUGGUAGAUGAUAUACCGUACGGGGCAAGCUCUUGCUUCUUAAGUUUCCAGUGUAUUGUCCAACAUUCGAUACUUUGGGGAGCUCAAAAAGGCGAUCCCAUCCCACACUACCAUUUCUUAUUGCAUGCACCAAAGAAAAUCUAUGAUAGGCAUUAUGUUCAGUUAGCGCUGCUUUGCCAUGUUAGUUUUGUACUCUACAAUUUAUCAUGCUAUUUUUAGCUAUGGAUUUGGAUGAAAAAAUUCCAUAGCAGCUCAAUCUCAUGCAAACAACGAGCCUAUCAAAACCAGAAGUUAAAUGGAAGAAGCUUAAGCUUAACUUCUAAAAGUACCAACUCUUUUAUCAUGUAUGUCAGACAUGUGUUGUACAAUGAAUCAAAAUACACAUUGGGGGAUUCAGCCCUGUAAAUUAUGUUCUCUUAUUAGUUGAGUUCCCACUUAUAAUUUUCUACUGUAGGGAAGUUUAUGAACAUUUUCGUAGAGAUAGCCACUACCUUGUAUCCCAUAGAGAAAGGGACAACACAAGGGCCAAGUAAGUUUUCACGACAGGUGUAGAUGGUUCCCUAAUUUCUCUUGCACUGUUGUAAGAGAGUAACAGUUAUGUUCAUUCCAGUUUCAUACAAUAUAGUUCUUGUGUUCUGUCCUUUGUUUCAUUUUCUUACUUCUUUUUUCAGCAUAUCCCUGCUUAGUUUCUUAUAUUGAGAUCACCCUGCUUAGUAUCUAUAAAUAUGGAAGGUGGAUAUACUUAUGUUUCCAUUUUUGUAUAUACAAUACUCUGAUGGAACAAAUGCCUGAAUGUUAGGUACUGCAAUUUUGAUUUUUGAACUCAGAUGUGAUUGUGACCUUGCCCGGUUUUCUCUCAUCAAAUAUUAUCGACUAUUAGUGUCAACUUUAAUAAUCAAAUUUAAUAUGUUGUUAGUUCUGUUGAUUGCACUCUGCAUGUGAUCUUGGUACUCUACAUUUCGAUAAAUGUACUCAACAACCAACUUUCUUCUGUUCGUAUAAUCCUGCUUUAAAUGAUUAUUGGUAAGGUAAAGUCCUAAAUUUGAGCAUUGUUUCACCAGUAUUACACUAAUACUGCUAACAAAUACGUUAUACAUUGUUUCGCUCUUUUAUUUCUCAAUACAAUACUAGAAGCUAUAGUUCAUAUUACAUAUGUACUACCGGGUUAGCCAAUUGGUAAAAUAUAUCCAUUGGUAUUUACUUCCGGAAUCACAUCAGACCAUUGUCUUGCUCAUUUGGGGCGAUUGGACAUUUUUCCUUAUUUAUCAGUUUGUUUAUUUCAUCUUACUUCUAGAGAUCUCUAAGUUGCUUCAGAAUGUUAGUGUUCUCUUUGUGGCUGCAGUUAAGAUGAUUGUGCUUGCGUAGCUGAUCAAAUUUCUGUGCAGCUAGACUGUUUAGAGGUUCUUUGAUACAUAUAGUCAAGAGAGGAUCUGCUUGCGUAGUUGAUCAAAUUUCCGUGAAGCUAGGCUGUUUAGAGGUUCUUUGAUGCAUAUAGUAAAGAGGAUGUCUCUAGAUGUUCCAUAUUUUAACUUUUGAGUAUUUCGUAUUACUUACAAAGAUUUCUCAUUUUAUUUAGUAUGUGAGCGUUCCUUUUGUGCUUGUAGUUACUUUGUUGAUAGAUCUCCACAGAAAUAGGCCGUUUAGAAGCCUUUUGUUCCUACAGGUAAGAGGAUGUGUCUUUAGGUGUUCCAAAUUUUAACUUCCAUUUUGUUUUGUGCUCACUGGAUAAUAUUCGUUAAGCUACUGCAUAAUUUUGAAGUAACAAUGAUGAAGUGACACUCCAAUACAUAUAAAGUGCAGUGAACAUCUCGAAACAAAACAUUGAUAUAUUGAAUGAACAUAGGGCUCAGCUUCCAUCGGCUGCUUCAGUUCUUGCUUAGCUCGAGUUCAUACAGCGCAAUUGGGGAAGAAUACGGAAGCGGAAAGAGGACACAGAGAUGUGUAUAGUACAGAGGAGAAGGAUACGGACGGUAUUGUAUUUUUACUGAUUUUUUUCUUUUGGAGAAAAUGCAUUCUUACUUGGAAGGACAUAUUAAUGCCUUGCUUCCUGGCAGCAGUUCAAUAGCGCUGCUCUUUUGCUUUCUGGUUCUGUCUUGCGGCUACCAUGGGACAAGUGAUAUCUCCGAUGGUGGGUUUCAGUUCUUGGUGCAUGUGCGUUUGAAUUCGCAGACUUACAAUUACUUCUGGGAAAUAAACAUAGAUUAUGCACAUUGUGUUGUUUUACUCAAAAGAUACUUUUAUAUCUUCUCUUCUUUCAGUUAAGUGCUAUGAGUGUUUGGUCAGCGUAAUGAUUCUGAGUGUUUCAGUAUUUCAUUCUCAAUGGAAUGUAUGCAUUACCUGGGCUGCCAGUCAAGGUAUCUAGACUCCCCAUUUUAUCCUCUCGGUAUAGCCAGGCUAGGAGGAUGGCCAUCGCCACAUCCCCUUAUCUACAUUGUGCGGCACAUAUUGUCCAUGUCUUCGAGUAAACUCGAGCUCCCUGGUCGUUUGUGCCGAAGAACUAGAUGUGAUAUCUCUUUCUAAUUAUGAUUAUCUUAUAUGUGAGUAGAAGAAAUGUAUGGUUAUCUUAGUAAUUAAUGGAUAAAGCUUCCCUGCAAAGCAACAUUCAAUCUACUAUCCACCAAUUAGUCUAAUACUCUAUGCAAUUGGGUAUGGCUUAAUUUUUAGUAGAUAUUUAUUUUCUUAGUUUUUAUUCUAUCCAAAGUAAUAUUUUAAUACUUACAUUGUUAUCAGUUGUCAAGUUGCAAUUCAAAGUCUGGUUUUAUUUGGAGCGGGGCGCCGUCCGUCGAGAUUGCGCGCCAUUGGCAGGUUCAGAGAGGGAAGAUUGAGAGAAUGUGGAAAUAAGAGAAAAAUAAAUAUGGGAUGACCAUGAAAAAAAAUGUAGAAAAAUUACUUAGCCUAUUACCUGGUCCAGUUUCACAUAACGCAUUAAAAAAUGUACUGCCAACUAGACCAUUUCAUUAUCUAACUAGAUGUUAGACGUUCUUUUGUACUCUCCUGGCCCUUCAUACUCCAGUAAUGAUAUGUAAAUGCACCGGCACACUAUGCUCAUUUUGGAUGAAAUCUACAAAGAUCAUAUAGGUAGAGAGGUCACUUUAAUUAGCAAGAUAUGCGUAUGUUAACUUAUGAACAAAAUGAAACCUUAAUUGGGGUAUCUUUGAACAAUCGCCCUGAAGGAGUUGUUCCCAGCUCAGUCCUCAAUGUGUAACUGUCGACCAUUAAAAGUAAUUUGUACACAUAAUAUACACCCAUGCACUUGCAACUAACCAAUAUAAAUUCUCUUUUGCAGCAAUUAAAAGCCAACAAAUCGACUGGAGCAUCCCUUCCUCUUUUGGGCAGAACAAAGUACUUCAUGGCCAUCUCGCCUUUUCCCAUAAUUACUUGAGUUCAUGGCCAUGCAAAUCUGCUCAGAAUUUAGUUAUGGCUGAAGGACUACUUGGUUCGAACAAUUCAUUGCUACGACUGUGCAGUGUUCAGUUGAAUAAAAUGGAUGCUAGAGAUGGAUCAAAGGAAUGUGCAUUCAGCAGAGAGUGGCCCUACUCGGUAGUGCAUCUACCAAAUAAUCAUAUCGCUGCUGCGGCGUGCCGCCGUGAACACCACUGCCACAAGGCCUUUGAGGAUGUCCGCAUCACCUCACAGGAGGCACAAUUUGUUCAUACAGUGCACUAGAUCUUUUGUAAUCGGAGGCACGGAUAGUUUGCAUAGUAUGUUUUCUUUGCCUAUGUAUUACACUAUGUAAAGGGAACAUGUUUCCAGUUAUAAUAUCUAAAUGAUGGAAUGGCAUUGUUUUCCUGCUGUCA